AGGACGAACGCUGGCGGCGUGCUUAACACAUGCAAGUCGAGCGGAAAGGCCCUUCGGGGUACUCGAGCGGCGAACGGGUGAGUAACACGUGAGCAAUCUGCCCUUAGCUUCGGGAUAGCCCCGGGAAACCGGGAUUAAUACCGAAUACGACCUCGGCCGACAUCGGCUUUGGUGGAAAGUUUUUCGGCUAGGGAUGAACUCGCGGCCUAUCAGCUUGUUGGUGGGGUAAUGGCCUACCAAGGCGACGACGGGUAGCCGGCCUGAGAGGGCGACCGGCCACACUGGGACUGAGACACGGCCCAGACUCCUACGGGAGGCAGUAGUGGGGAAUAUUGCGCAAUGGGCGAAAGCCUGACGCAGCGACGCCGCGUGGGGGAUGAAGGCCUUCGGGUUGUAAACCCCUUUCAGCAGGGACGAAGCGAAAGUGACGGUACCUGCAGAAGAAGCGCCGGCUAACUACGCGCCAGCAGCCGC
rnacentral:rRNA from 1 species